GACGUAGGGCGCGAGCGUUGUCCGGAUUUAUUGGGCGUAAAGAGCUCGUAGGCGGCUUGUCGCGUCGUCCGUGAAAACCAGGGGCUCAACCCCUGGCUUGCGGUCGAUACGGGCAGGCUAGAGUUCGGUAGGGGAGACUGGAAUUCCUGGUGUAGCGGUGAAAUGCGCAGAUAUCAGGAAGAACACCCGUGGCUAAGGCGGUUCUCUAGUACGGUACUGACGCUGAGACGCGAAAGCGUGGGGAGCGAACAGG
rnacentral:rRNA from 1 species